UACGGAAGGCAGCAGUGGGGAAUAUUGGACAAUGGGCGAAAGCCUGAUCCAGCCAUGCCGCAUGAGUGAAGAAGGCCUUCGGGUUGUAAAGCUCUUUUAGUGAGAAAGAUAAUGACGGUACUCACAGAAGAAGUCCUGGCUAACUCCGUGCCAGCAGCCGCGGUAAUACGGAGAGGGCUAGCGUUAUUCGGAAUUAUUGGGCGUAAAGAGCGCGUAGGCUGAUUAGUAAGUUAAAAGUGAAAUCCCAAAGCUUAACUUUGGAAUUGCUUUUUAAAACUGCUAGUCUAGAGAUUGAAAGAGGAUAGAGGAAUUUCCUAGUGUAGAGGUGAAAUUCGUAAAUAUUAGGAGGAACACCAGUGGCGAAGGCGUCUAUCUGGUUCAAAUCUGACGCUGAGGCGCGAAGGGCGUGGGGAGCAAACAGGGAUUAGAUACCCGU
rnacentral:rRNA from 1 species